UCGGCAAUGGGCGAAAGCCUGACCGAGCGACGCCGCGUGUGGGAUGAAGGCCUUCGGGUUGUAAACCACUGUCAACGGGGAGGAAAUGCAGGAGGGUACUCCCUCCUGUUUGACCUAUCUGUGGAGGAAGUACGGGCUAAGUUCGUGCCAGCAGCCGCGGUAAGACGAACCGUACAAACGUUAUUCGGAAUCACUGGGCUUAAAGGGUGCGUAGGCUGCGCGGUAAGUUGGGUGUGAAAGCCCUCGGCUCAACCGAGGAACUGCGCUCAAAACUACCGUGCUGGAGGGAGACAGAGGUGAGCGGAACUCAGGGUGGAGCGGUGAAAUGCGUUGAUAUCCUGAGGAACACCGGUGGCGAAGGCGGCUCACUGGGUCUCUUCUGACGCUGAGGCACGAAAGCUAGGGGAUCAAACGGGAUUAGAUACCCCGGUAGUCCUAGCCCUAAACUAUGGGUACUAGAUUGUGGACUUUCAUGGGUUCACAGUCGAAGCAAAAGUGUUAAGUACCCCGCCUGGGGAGUAUGGUCGCAAGGCUGAAACUCAAAGGA
rnacentral:rRNA from 1 species